rnacentral:rRNA from 1 species
GACGUAGGGGGCAAGCGUUGUCCGGAAUCAUUGGGCGUAAAGCGCUCGUAGGUGGAUCGGUAAGUCUGCAAAGAAAGACCCGGGCUCAACUCGGGGAACGGUGUGGAUACUACCGAUCUUGAGGCAAUCAGAGGAUGGUGGAAUCCCGGUGUAGCGGUGAAAUGCGUAGAGAUCGGGAGGAACACCAGUGGCGAAGGCGAGUCCCUGGACGAUACCGUGACACUGAGGCACGAAAGCCAAGGGAGCAAACAGG